UAAUAAUUUAAAUUUAAGAAACUUAAAAGAUCUGGCGGUAAAUUAAUCAAAUUAGAGGAACUUGUAUUGUAAUAGAUAAUCCACAUUUUACCUAACUCUUUUUUUAAAAGUAUAUAUAUCCGCUGUUUAGAGUAUAAUUAUAAUGUUAAUACUCUUAAAAUUUAAACAAAUUUAAAAUCAAGUCAAGGUGUAGCUUAUAAAAGAGAAUUUAUGAGUUACAAUUAUUAAAAUAAUGAAUUAAAAACUGAAAUUUUUUUUUUGAAAUUGGAUUUAAAAGUAUUUUUAAAAUUAGAAAGUUAAAAAGAAUAAUAAUUUAAUUUAUGU
rnacentral:rRNA from 1 species